AAUCAACGCUGGCGGCGUGCGUAACACAUGCAAGUCGAACGCGAAAGGGGAGCAAUCCCUGAUUAGAGUGGCAAACGGGUGAGUAACACGUGGGUGACCUGCCUUCGAGUGGGGGAUAACCUUCCGAAAGGAGGGCUAAUACCGCAUGACAUACCGUGUUUGGAUACACGGAUAUCAAAGCCGGGGAUCGCAAGACCUGGCGCUUGGAGAGGGGCCCGCGUCCGAUUAGCUAGUUGGUGGGGUAACGGCUCACCAAGGCUCCGAUCGGUAUCCGGCCUGAGAGGGCGGACGGACACACUGGAACUGAGACACGGGUCCAGACUCCUACGGGAGGCCGCAGUGGGGAAUUGUUCGCAAUGGGCGAAAGCCUGACGACGCAACGCCGCGUGGAGGGUGAAGAAUUUCGGUUCGUAAACUCCUUUCGACCGAGAUGAAUACCCAUGGGUUUAAUACGCCUGUGGGCUGACAGUAUCGAGAGAAGAAGCCCCGGGCUAAACUCUGUGCCAGCCGCCGCUGU
rnacentral:rRNA from 1 species